CGGGCGGUGGACUCCCAGACGGCGUCGUCGGAGAGCAGCGCGGCCUCGCCGAAGUAGGCGCCGUCGGCGAGCACGCCGAGGACCGCGUCGUCGCCGUAGGGGCCGGUACCGACCCGCUCCACCCGGCCGUGCGCGAGCAGGUAGACCUCGUCGGUCGGGGUGCCGUCCGAGACGAUCACGUCCCCGGGAGCGAACUCCCGCUGGCGGCAGCGCUGGGCCAGCUCGCCGAGCACGUCCUGGUCCUCGUAGGAGCGCAGGGCGGGCAGUUCGCCCAGCUCCGCCGGGAUGACCUCGACCCGGUCGCCGGUCUUCACGAACGUGAUGCGGCCGUCCCCCACGGUGUACGUGAGACGCCGGUUGACCCGGUACGCGCCGCCCUGCACAUUGACCCACGGCAGCAUGCGCAGCAGCCAGCGCGAGCUGAUCUCCUGCAUCUGCGGCGCGGACUUGGUCGUGGUGGCCAGGUUCCGCGCGGCGGCAGUGCCGAGACUCUGCUGCGGCUUGUCCU
rnacentral:antisense_RNA from 1 species